rnacentral:rRNA from 1 species
AGUGAACGCUGGCGGUAGGCCUAACACAUGCAAGUCGAACGGCAGCACAGUAAGAGCUUGCUCUUACGGGUGGCGAGUGGCGGACGGGUGAGGAAUACAUCGGAAUCUACCUUUUCGUGGGGGAUAACGUAGGGAAACUUACGCUAAUACCGCAUACGACCUACGGGUGAAAGCAGGGGAUCUUCGGACCUUGCGCGAUUGAAUGAGCCGAUGUCGGAUUAGCUAGUUGGCGGGGUAAAGGCCCACCAAGGCGACGAUCCGAAGCUGGUCUGAGAGGAUGAUCAGCCACACUGGAACUGAGACACGGUCCAGACUCCUACGGGAGGCAGCAGUGGGGAAUAUUGGACAAUGGGCGCAAGCCUGAUCCAGCCAUACCGCGUGGGUGAAGAAGGCCUUCGGGUUGUAAAGCCCUUUUGUUGGGAAAGAAAAGCAGCAGGUUAAUACCCCGCUGUUCUGACGGUACCCAAAGAAUAAGCACCGGCUAACUUCGUG